rnacentral:rRNA from 1 species
GCAAGUUGAACGGGAUAAGUUUAGCAAUAGACUUUGAGAGUGGCGCACGGGUGCGUAACACGUAUGCAACCUGCCCUUGACUGGAGAAUAGCCUCUCGAAAGAGAGAUUAAUGUUCCAUAACAUCCCGCAAGGACAUCCUUGUGGGAUCAAAGCUCCGGCGGUCAAGGAUGGGCAUGCGGUUGAUUAGCUAGUUGGUGAGGUAACGGCUCACCAAGGCAACGAUCAAUAGGGGGUCUGAGAGGAUGUCCCCCCACACUGGUACUGAGACACGGACCAGACUCCUACGGGAGGCAGCAGUAGGGAAUAUUGGACAAUGGAGGCAACUCUGAUCCAGCCAUGCCGCGUGCAGGAAGACUGCCCUAUGGGUUGUAAACUGCUUUUGUACGGGAAGAAACCCAUCUACGUGUAGGUGGUCGACGGUACCGUAAGAAUAAGGAUCGGCUAACUUCGUGCCAGCAGCCGCGGUAAUACGAAGGAUCCAAGCGUUGUCCGGAUUUACUGGGUUUAAAGGGAGCGUAGGCGGUCUAAUAAGUCAGUGGUGAAAGCCUUCAGCUUAACUGAAGAAUUGCCAUUGAAACUGCUAGACUCGAGUAUGGUUGAGGUCACUGGAAUGUAACAUGUAGCGGUGAAAUGCAUAGAUAUGUUACAGAACACCAAUUGCGAAGGCAGGUGACUAAGCCAUAACUGACGCUGAGGCUCGAAAGCGUGGGGAGCAAACAGGAUUAGAUACCCUGGUAGUCCACGCCCUAAACUAUGAAUACUCGGUCUUGGCGAUAUACAGUCAGGGCCCAAGCGAAAGCGUUAAGUAUUCCACCUGGGAAGUACGUUCGCAAGAAUGAAACUCAAAGGAAUUGACGGGGGCCCGCACAAGCGGAGGACAUGUGGUUUAAUUCGAUGAUACGCGAGAAACCUUACCUGGGCUUGAAUGUGAGUGACCGGUGCCGAAAGUACUUUUCCGCAAGGGACACAAAACAAGGUGCUGCAUGGCUGUCGUCAGCUCGUGCCGUGAGGUGUUGGGUAAGUCCGCACGAG